rnacentral:rRNA from 1 species
GUCCACGCUGUAAACGAUGGGUGCUAGGUAUCGGGGCUUUAUAGUUUCGGUGCCGCAGCUAACGCGUUAAGCACCCCGCCUGGGGAGUACGGUCGCAAGAUUAAAACUCAAAGGAAUUGACGGGGACCCGCACAAGCGGUGGAGCAUGUGGUUUAAUUCGAUGCUACGCGAAAACCUUACCACCCUUUGACAUGUUCGUCGCGGCUCGUGGAAACAUGAGCCUUCAGUUCGGCUGGACGAAACACAGGUGUUGCAUGGCUGUCGU